ACCAGCCCUCAGCCCUUUUAGGCAUUAAUUACUUUGCUAUCCAACCGAUCUGUUUUUCCUAUUAUUUGCAUUUCGCAGCAGGGAUGUUUUUGCAAGACUAAUGCAGCUGCGAGUAGCUAUGAAUGCAUUUCUCACUGUAAGGGCGAAAUAGAUAGGAAUCACUGAAACGUUGCUGAGCAAGAUGAUUACUUUUUGUGACGAUGUGAUGGAAUAAUGUCACCUUUUGCAGAUGAAUAAAAUGUUUGAAAUAUUCAAACAAUAUGCCAUUACUGGAUAGUUUCAUACUUUCCAGCCCUGUUCAUGGAGUUAGAGGUAACUGGCUUAGAAGACGUUACUGGAGGAGCCUUGAUGAGUUACUGCAGUGUAUACUGUAGCAUCUAUAGUAUACUGCUAUUCACCGUGAACCAGUGGUGAAAAAAGUAAUUAUUGAUGGUGGUGGAUGAGUGCCAAUGAAGUGGACUGCUUUGAGCUUC